rnacentral:rRNA from 1 species
AUUGAACGCUGGCGGCAUGCCUUACACAUGCAAGUCGAACGGCAGCACGGGAGCAAUCCUGGUGGCGAGUGGCGAACGGGUGAGUAAAGUACCGGAACGUGCCCAGUCGUGGGGGAUAACGUAGCGAACGUUACGCUAAUACCGCAUACGAUCUAUGGAUGAAAGCGGGGGAUUGCACGACCCCGGGCGACUGGAGCGGCCGAUAUCAGAUUAGGUGGUUGGUGGGGUAAAGGCUCGCCAAGCCGACGAUCUGUAGCUGGUCUGGGAGGAGGACCAGCCACACUGGGACUGAGACACGGCCCAGACUCCUCCGGGAGGCAGCAGUGGGGAAUUUUGGACAAUGGGCGAAAGCCUGAUCCAGCCAUGCCGCGUGCAGGAUGAAGGCCGUCGGGUUGUAAACUGCUUUUGUACGGAACGAAAAGGUUUGGCCUAAUAAGCUGAGCUCAUGACGGUACCGUAAGAAUAAGCACCGGCUAACUACGUGCCAGCAGCCGCAGUAA